rnacentral:rRNA from 1 species
AUUGAACGCUGGCGGCAGGCUUAACACAUGCAAGUCGAGCGGAGAGAGGUAGCUUGCUACUGAUCUUAGCGGCGGACGGGUGAGUAAUGCUUAGGAAUCUGCCUAUUAGUGGGGGACAACAUUUCGAAAGGAAUGCUAAUACCGCAUACGUCCUACGGGAGAAAGCAGGGGAUCUUCGGACCUUGCGCUAAUAGAUGAGCCUAAGUCGGAUUAGCUAGUUGGUGGGGUAAAGGCCUACCAAGGCGACGAUCUGUAGCGGGUCUGUGAGGAUGAUCCUCCACACUGGGACUGAGACACGGGCCAGACUCCUACGGGAGGCAGCAGUGGGGAAUAUUGGACAAUGGGCGGAAGCCUGAUCCAGCCAUGCCGCGUGUGUGAAGAAGGCCUUAUGGUUGUAAGGCACUUUAAGCGAGGAGGAGGCUACUUUAGUUAAUACCUAGAGAUAGUGGACGUUACUCGCAGAAUAAGCACCGGCUAACUCUGUGCCAGCCGCCGCCGUAAGAC